AAACUACUACCUCCGUCCGAAAAUACUUGUCCUAGAGAUGAAUGUAUCUAGACUUAUUUUAAUUAUAGAUACAUUCAUUAUAUGCAUUUUUAGGACAAGUAUUUUCAGACAGAGGGAGUAGUAG
rnacentral:pre_miRNA from 1 species